rnacentral:rRNA from 1 species
CUAAGAAUAUUCCGCAAUGGACGGAAGUCUGACGGAGCGACGCCGCGUGGAUGACGAAGGCCGAAAGGUUGUAAAGUUCUUUUGCUGGGGAAGAAUAACCGCAGGAGGGAAUGCCUGUGGGAUGACAAGAACCGGCGAAUAAGCCCCGGCCAACUACGUGCCAGCAGCCGCGGUAACACGUAGGGGGCGAGCGUUGUUCGGAAUUACUGGGCGUAAAGGGCAUGUAGGCGGCUUGGAAAGCCUGGCGUGAAAGUCUGCAGCUUAACUGCAGGGGUGCGCUGGGAACUGCUGAGCUUGAGUGACGGAGAGGGAGCUGGAAUUCCUGGUGUAGGGGUGAAAUCUGUAGAUAUCAGGAAGAACACCGAUGGCGAAGGCAAGCUCCUGGCCGAUGACUGACGCUGAGGUGCGAAAGUGUGGGGAUCAAACAGGAUUAGAUACCCUGGUAGUCCACACAGUCAACGAUGUGCACUAGGUGCUGGGGCGGUAGCUUCGGUGCCGGAGCGAACGUGGUAAGUGCACCGCCUGGGGAGUAUGCUCGCAAGGGUGAAACUCAAAUGAAUUGACGGGGUCAU